GGUUAAGUGAAUAAGGGCGCACGGUGGAUGCCUUGGCACUAGGAGCCGAUGAAGGACGGGACUAACACCGAUAUGCUUUGGGGAGCUGUACGUAAGCUAUGAUCCAGAGAUUUCCGAAUGGGGGAACCCAGCAUCUUUAAUAGGAUGUUACGAUUGUGUGAAUACAUAGCACAUUCGAGGUAGACGCAGAGAACUGAAACAUCUAAGUACCUGCAGGAAGAGAAAGAAAAUUCGAUUCCCUGAGUAGCGGCGAGCGAAACGGGAAAAGCCCAAACCAACAAGCUUGCUUGUUGGGGUUGUAGGACUCCAAUAUGGUCGUUCUUUCAGAUAGUCGAAUGACU
rnacentral:rRNA from 1 species